rfam:Echinostoma caproni strain Egypt genome assembly, scaffold: ECPE_scaffold0035567
GCACUGCUGACGAGUCCAAAACUGGAUGAAACAGCUGUCCAGUGC